GGUAAGGUAACGGCUUACCAAGGCGACGAUCAGUAGCCGACCUGAGAGGGUGAUCGGCCACAUUGGAACUGAGACACGGUCCAAACUCCUACGGGAGGCAGCAGUGGGGAAUAUUGCACAAUGGGCGCAAGCCUGAUGCAGCAACGCCGCGUGAGUGAUGAAGGCCUUCGGGUCGUAAAACUCUGUCCUCAAGGAAGAUAAUGACGGUACUUGAGGAGGAAGCCCCGGCUAACUACGUGCCAGCAGCCGCGGUAAUACGUAGGGGGCUAGCGUUAUCCG
rnacentral:rRNA from 1 species